CCUACGGGAGGCAGCAGUGGGGAAUAUUGGACAAUGGGCGCAAGCCUGAUCCAGCCAUGCCGCGUGAGUGAUGAAGGCCCUAGGGUUGUAAAGCUCUUUUGUGCGGGAAGAUAAUGACGGUACCGCAAGAAUAAGCCCCGGCUAACUUCGUGCCAGCAGCCGCGGUAAUACGAAGGGGGCUAGCGUUGCUCGGAAUCACUGGGCGUAAAGGGUGCGUAGGCGGGUCUUUAAGUCAGGGGUGAAAUCCUGGAGCUCAACUCCAGAACUGCCUUUGAUACUGAGGAUCUUGAGUUCGGGAGAGGUGAGUGGAACUGCGAGUGUAGAGGUGAAAUUCGUAGAUAUUCGCAAGAACACCAGUGGCGAAGGCGGCUCACUGGCCCGAUACUGACGCUGAGGCACGAAAGCGUGGGGAGCAAACAGGAUUAGAUACCCUGGUAGUCCACGACCGUAACGAUAGAUGCAGCGUAGUGGUUACGUCACUAGUGGCGCNGCUACGUACUUAAGUCAUUCCGCCGUGGGAGGUACGGUCGCGAGAGUUAAACUUAAAUAGUAGUUGACGGUCGUUGAGAGUUGCCGACGGCGACGACGAGGGGAGGUUAGG
rnacentral:rRNA from 1 species